UAAUGCAGUGUGUGUGUGCAGUGUGCGCAUAUAAUGCAGUAUGCGUAUAUAAUGCAAUGUGUGUAGUGUGCGUAUAUAAUGCAGUGUGUGUAUAUAAUUAAUGCAGUGUGUGUUUGCAUAGUGUGUUUAUAUAAUGCACACUUCACAAACACACUGCAUUAUAUAAACACUAUACAAACACACACACUCUGUAUUAUAUAAACACACUGCAUUCAUUAUAUACACUACACAAACACACACACUUUGCAUUUAGUAUAUACUGCAUUCACUUUACGCACACUACCCACACACUACACAAACACUCUGCUUUCAUUAUAUACACACACAACACUAAUACACACUGCAUCCACUACACACUAGACAAAUACACACUGCAUCCACUACACACUAGACAAAUACACACUGCACACACUACACAAACACACACUGCAUCCACUACACACACUACACAAACACACACUGCAUCCACUACACAAAUACAUACAGCUUCCCUGUCUAAACACACUGCAUCCACUACACGUGGCAUGUAUAUUUUGUGCAUUUACCUUUAGAAAGUUUUUAUUUUCCAAAAUGGUAAAUGUACAGAAUAUCGGCAAAUUAUAUCGGC